rnacentral:lncRNA from 1 species
UUUGCCCAGGGUAACCCAGCUAGUGUCUGAGGUUAGAUUUGAAUUUGGUCUUUCUCACUCCAGGCCCAGCAACUCUAUCCACUGGGCAACCUAGCUGCCCAAAGAGAGAUAGCUAGAAAAUAUUUAAUUCCAAUGGAUAAUGACAUUUCUUUUCAGCAGUUUUAGUAUUAUACUGUUUUUGUAUUUAAAAAUGCAGUAAAAGGGCAGCUAGAUGACUCAAUAAAUAGAGGGCCAGGUCUGUAGUUGGGAGUUCCCAGGUUCAAAUCUGGCCUCAGAUACUUCCUAGUUGUGUGACUUAACCCUCAAUGCUUAGCCCUUCCUGCUUUUCUGCUUUGAACCAAUACAUAGCCCUGAUUCUAAGAAAAAAGUAACUAGCCAAAGUGGGAAACAUUGAAGGAAUGAGAGAUUUGAGGUGAAGGAAGGAGAGAGAAAAGGGUGCUUCAGAGAAAGACUGGUCUGGGUGAACAAACACCUUAGAUAAAAGCAACAGGAAGACUGGACACCUGAAAAAAGCCUCAAGGAAAGAUAUUGUCAUUCUCUGUAGAGCAGAUAUUCAUCCUUAUGUCAGAGAACAAUGGAGGAUAUGGGUCAUUGAAUGUUAUGUUAUCUCUACUAUUGAACAAAAUCAAAUGGAUAGCUGCUGUUCUCUGAAAUCUUGUGGUGUUAAAGGACUGAGUGCAUCUGACUCAUUGAAAGGACAAAUACUGAAACUGAAGCUUAAAUACUCUGACUAUAUAAGGAGAAGAAAGGAUUCCCUGGAAAAGACUCUGAUGUUGGGAAAGAUUGAAGGCAAAAAGGAGAAGGAAACAGCAGAGGAUGAGAUGGAAAGAGAAUGCCAUGGAAGCAACAAGCAUGAGCUUGGACAAACUUCAGGAGAUGGUAAUGUGCUGUGGUCCAUGGGGUCACAAAGAGUCACAUGACUGAACAAAUAAAGAACAAAC